GAACUGCGAAUGGCUCAUUAAAUCAGUUAUCGUUUAUUUGAUAGUACUUACUACUUGGAUAACCGUGGUAAUUCUAGAGCUAAUACAUGCUGAAAACCCCAACUUCGGGAGGGGUGUAUAUAUUAGAUAAAAAACCAACGCCCUUUCGGGGCUUCUUGGUGAUUCAUGAUAUCUUUACGGAUCGCAUGGCCUUGCGCCGGGCGACGGUUCAUUCAAAUUUCUGCCCUAUCAACUUUCGAUGGUAAGGUAUUGGCUUACCAUGGUUUCAACGGGUAACGGGGAAUUAGGGUUCGAUUCCGGAGAGGGAGCCUGAGAAACGGCUACCACAUCCAAGGAAGGCAGCAGGCGCGCAAAUUACCCAAUCCCGACACGGGGAGGUAGUGACAAUAAAUACUGAUACAGGGCUCUUUUGGGUCUUGUAAUUGGAAUGAGUACAAUUUAAACCUCUUAACGAGGAACAAUUGGAGGGCAAGUCUGGUGCCAGCAGCCGCGGUAAUUCCAGCUCCAAUAGCGUAUAUUAAAGUUGUUGCAGUUAAAAAGCUCGUAGUUGAACCUUGGGUCUGGCUGGCAGGUCCGCCUCACCGCGUGUACUUGUCCGGCCGGGCCUUCCUUCUGGAGAACCUCAUGCCCUUCACUGGGCGUGUUGGGGACCAGGACUUUUACUUUGAAAAAAUUAGAGUGUUCAAAGCAGGCCUUUGCUCGAAUACGUUAGCAUGGAAUAAUAGAAUAGGACGUGCGGUCCUAUUUUGUUGGUUUCUAGGACCGCCGUAAUGAUUAAUAGGGACAGUCGGGGGCAUCAGUAUUCAAUUGUCAGAGGUGAAAUUCUUGGAUUUAUUGAAGACUAACUACUGCGAAAGCAUUUGCCAAGGAUGUUUUCAUUAAUCAGUGAACGAAAGUUAGGGGAUCGAAGACGAUCAGAUACCGUCGUAGUCUUAACCGUAAACUAUGCCGACUAGGGAUCGGGCGAUGUUCUUUUUCUGACUCGCUCGGCACCUUACGAGAAAUCAA
rnacentral:rRNA from 1 species